rnacentral:lncRNA from 1 species
CCUAAGGCUGGUGCAGGUGGUGGGUCACAUCCCCACAGUCCAACAGCCCCUCCGGAGCCUGCCGAGAAGGUCCACGCCGCGGCGGGCUCUGCUGGAGAGGCAGGUGCUGAGCUCUGCCCGUGCUCCGGGGGAGAGCAGCAUCUGCAGAAUGGAGCUGAAGAAGCCAAGGGAGAAGCUGCCUGCGAUGAGGUGGGUCUCGGCGCACGGUGGGCAGCUCUGCAGUGCGUCCCCCCGCCCCGGGUGAGAGCCCAUCGAGGCCACUGCUGCGGGCAGGGGCUGUGCUGGUGGCUGCCUUCCUCCCCCAGCCGCUUUCUCUGCCGCAGCUUCUCGGUGUCCUUCAGCCAUCCGACAACUCGCGGGUCCUGCCGGGAGCUACCGUGGAGCCUGACGCACAGCCCAGCCAGGCUUGCUCUGAUAUCUGUGCUGCGCCAGAGACCUCACCAGGGACCCAGCACCUUCCUGGGUCCGGUGAGACGGAACCGGCUGCAGACAGCCAGCACCAGCUCUGCUCCUCGCUCCCGACACCCUCCCCGGCCAGCACGGACCUGCGCUCCGCCGCUGUCCUCGCCAGGAAAGAGGAGAUUGAGCUGUCGUACCAGCAGUUCAGCCUGACCAUCGCGGUGGUGGCCACAAUGCUGCUGCAGAAGGAGCCCUCCAUGGAGGCGGCGCUGGGGCUGGCGCUGAGAGCCAACCUGCGCCAGGGCCGGAUCCAUCACCUCCAGGAGCUGGAGGAUUUCAUCGACAGCUACGACUCGGCCACCCUCAGCCGCUGAGGGGGGGGACGGGGUGCAGACGGACACCCCCUCUCACCACCCGGGGUUAGAGGGGGGUGAUGGGGGGGCUGUGCCCAUGCAGCGGGGUGCUCGUGAUGGGGCCGAGCCCUCGGGUCAAGGCGAUACGGACACGUUGGCACAGUCUCACCAUCUCUCUUGGGAAUGGAGGAGGAGGGGGCUGCUUAGUUUUAGCCCUGCCCAGACCUGUUUGUGCAGCAAAAGGGGGAGCUGGUUUUACUGGAGGGCGAUGGGAGGGACAGCGGAUGUGGGGAGCUCCCCAGUUCCUUGCUCCAUUCCUGGUUCACAGGGAUGUACCUCAAAACCCUGGGGUUUGCUCUUGGUUUUAAAUCUAAAAAUAAACCAGCUGUGAUAUAUGCACCCCUCGCUCUGCUGUUGAUCUGGUC